rnacentral:rRNA from 1 species
UACGAAGGGGGCUAGCGUUGCUCGGAGUCACUGGGCGUAAAGCGCACGUAGGCGGCUUCUUAAGUCAGGGGUGAAAUCCUGGAGCUCAACUCCAGAACUGCCUUUGAUACUGAGAAGCUUGAGUCCGGGAGAGGUGAGUGGAACUGCGAGUGUAGAGGUGAAAUUCGUAGAUAUUCGCAAGAACACCAGUGGCGAAGGCGGCUCACUGGCCCGGUACUGACGCUGAGGUGCGAAAGCGUGGGGAGCAAACAGG